ACUAAUUAAAAAAACAGGGGCUCGAUAAAGUAGCCCUCCCGAUUGUUGCCUUUGCACGGACAGACUAUACGGUGGCUGGUCGUUCCCCAGCCGCCGCGAAUACCGAAACAAGCAGGGCAACAAUCUUCGAGGGUAGCGCUGCUACCCUUUUUUUUCUGGAGUUUA
rfam:Enterobacter aerogenes KCTC 2190, complete genome.